ACGCUCACUUCGAUAUCAUAAUACACGGAACGCAAACUUGAAACAGGUCUUGAGCCGGUGAUUCACUAUGGGAUUCGGGAAAACAAAUGACAACGAUUGCCACUUUUGAAAGGUUUGUAUUCUAUAUCCCAACUUCGUAUGGGUAUAUAGGAAACAAAGCCUUACUAAGUUUUAUGUUAAAACUAUCUUUUGUGAUGUGUAAAAACAAACUGAUAACUAUGUUAUGUCUAAGGUUUUGAACAUGUAUGGUACUUGAAACUACUUUUGGGAAAAUAUGUAAAUAUUCGUUGGAAGUUAUAUAUCUAUGGCAUCGUUGUUGGUU